AAGAAAAAGAAACAAAAGAAAGGAGGAGCUCUGACUGAAUCAAGUCGGUCACCUUCCAAUAAGCAAGCUUUGCCCCGACGACAGAGUUCAAGGUCGAGUUAUGGCAGGUAUGACUCCUAUACUCCCCUUUCUGCUCUCCGUACAUAGAUUCUCAUAGAGAUCGAAGGAGCAGAAUAUUUGCGACACCCUUCGCCAAUGAAAGCACCGUCAAGGAGCCAC
rnacentral:lncRNA from 1 species